rnacentral:rRNA from 1 species
CCUACGGGUGGCAGCAGUGGGGAAUUUUCCGCAAUGGGCGAAAGCCUGACGGAGCAACGCCGCGUGAGGGAUGAAGGCCUCUGGGCUGUAAACCUCUUUUAUCAAGGAAGAAGAUCUGACGGUACUUGAUGAAUAAGCCACGGCUAAUUCCGUGCCAGCAGCCGCGGUAAUACGGGAGUGGCAAGCGUUAUCCGGAAUUAUUGGGCGUAAAGCGUCCGCAGGCGGUCUUGUAAGUCUGUCGUUAAAGCGUGGAGCUUAACUCCAUUUGAGCGAUGGAAACUGCAAGACUAGAGUGUGGUAGGGGCAGAGGGAAUUCCCGGUGUAGCGGUGAAAUGCGUAGAUAUCGGGAAGAACACCAGUGGCGAAGGCGCUCUGCUGGGCCAUAACUGACGCUCAUGGACGAAAGCCAGGGGAGCGAAAGGGAUUAGAUACCCUUGUAGUC